GACGGAGGUUUGCUAAGGAA
rnacentral:miRNA from 1 species